AAGCAAGGCCUCUUCUUUCCACUUCUCCGGCCCUCUUCAGAUGUACUCUAUUUACAUGCAAUCAUCUGACCGUUUUUAGAGAGCCAAGGGUGUAUACCAUCUUUUGCUGAGCAAAGUCAGGAGGCUAAAGGUGCAGUACUGCCCUAGGAAUGAAUACACAGAGGAAACGUCAUGGAUCCUGCUCUUGGGAGGAACCUGCCUGCUCAGGGAGCAGACACUCAAACUUCUUGUAGCCAAAUUUCUGCAUCAUUACAGUGCCUAGCAGGUGAGGAAACCAAGGCACGGAGAAGCAAGUUUACCUGGAAAGUCCGGGGCAGAGCUGGGAUUAGAACCCAGAACUCUUACUACUCCACUUUUAAUUCUGUUCUGCCUCCCACGGCAAAAGCUGCAGAAGCCAGAAGGGCCGGUGAACAUGUCUCCAAACACACUACUGACCUUCCUUCGGAAUGUAUUUGCAAAGGUCACGCAAAUCGGAACAUUUUUAAUAACGACCAACCUAAGAAAAUGUGUAAAUUUUAUGUUUAAUAAGUGGUGUUAUGACAGAGAUGAAAAGAUCAUUUUUAACUCAUACGUUCUCAUCUCUACUGCCUUUCAGAGUUGGGGGGUUGGGGGGGUACACAGACUUGGGGGGGGUGCGCAGGCUCCGGGGGAGGUGAGAAGGGUUUCUUGUGGGGGAGGUGUUCGAGCAACGCCUGCCUAGCCAUGGCUCACGGAAUUGUCUUUCCCCAGAGAACAAACCUCUUUCAGGCCAGGAGGGUGGGAGUGGAUUAUUUAAGGAAGUCAUUUUGUUGAAUUUAGUGAUGCAGAAGGAGUGGAA
rnacentral:lncRNA from 1 species